rnacentral:rRNA from 1 species
AGCGAACGCUGGCGGCAGGCCUAACACAUGCAAGUCGAACGAAGUCUUCGGACUUAGUGGCGGACGGGUGAGUAACACGUGGGAACGUGCCUUUAGGUUCGGAAUAACUCAGGGAAACUUGUGCUAAUACCGAAUGUGCCCUUCGGGGGAAAGAUUUAUCGCCUUUAGAGCGGCCCGCGUCUGAUUAGCUAGUUGGUGAGGUAAAGGCUAACCAAGACUACGAUCAGUAGCUGGUCUGAGAGGAUGACCAGCCACAUUGGGACUGAGACACGGCCCAAACUCCUACGGGAGGCAGCAGUGGGGAAUCUUGCGCAAUGGGCGAAAGCCUGACGCAGCCAUGCCGCGUGGAUGAUGAAGGUCUUAGGAUUGUAAAAUCCUUUCACCGGUGAAGAUAAUGACUGUAGCCGGAGAAGAAGCCCCGGCUAACUUCGUGCCAGCCGCCGCUGUAAGAC